AAGUCGUAACAAGGUAACCGUAGGUGAACCUGCGGUUGGAUCAUUACUGAAUACUCAUCAAUGGGGGAUUUCCCAUGUUACUCCGGUAACAUGGUCCCCAUUGUUUGAUAUACACCCCCUUGUGAACCGUUUAACGUAUUUUUGGCGGCCCUCCAAAAAUGGGGUAUUUGUUUACCCCUUGGGCUGUCCAUGUUUUAAUAAACACCUAUUGAUUUUAUCAUGAGUCUCCGAGCGAUUCUUUAUUGAAGAAACGCGUUUUUUAAAUGAAAAACAACUUUUGACAACGGAUCUCUUGGCUCUC
rnacentral:misc_RNA from 1 species